UCUGUGAGCGAGUACGUAGUUUUUGUUGGCGAAGAAGAAAUUCAUCCACACUUAUUGUGGUUUCAUGCUCUCUUAUUGUGUAGAACAAAACUUAGCAGGGAUGGUAAAUUCUAACCUCAAUUACUUCUUUACACCUCGUUGAUUUUCAAUUGACAAAAACAUGGUUGUUCUAAAGUCAUUCGAGGAUUCUAUUACGCCAGGGAGUGAUUAUAUUAAUGCAAGUUUUCUCGAGGGAAGGAGCCAUAGGAGAGAUAUCCUGCUAUCAACAGCAAAACGCGUACAACACAUUUGAAGAAAUGCCUGAGCCACCAGUUAACACAGGCUCAAGUUCAGUUGCCAAUGGUUCACCUCACUACAUCUCAGUUCCGCUAGCCAUGGGUGUGAUGAGUCUUUGCCAAGGGUUUGGACAGAUUUUUGAAGCCAGGAAAGAAAGAGAGUUUGGUUUGGUUUGGAGUUUUGGAUUGCCGAGAAGACAAAUUAUGGAAAAUCUGUUGUUGUCGGUGGAUCAAGGGGAAUGAUGGCGCGUAUGGCUGAGAUUAAGACGUGAAUUAGAGUUUACAUGAUAUAAGGAAAGUUGGGUCUCUCCCCAGUUCGAUAAUCCAGGGAUUUGAGGCUAAAAAAGAAAGACCCUGAAAGCUACAGGGAGAGAUCUAAUACCCGCUCGACGACUGUUUUCACCUCCAACAGCUCUUGAAACCCUUCCAUCCACCACCAGACUACUUGCAUACCACUCCAUAUCAAUACCAAUAGUUCGAAGCUCUUCCUUCCGCCUGCAUACAACCGUCUCCACCACAUCCACAACACCUGCUUGAAAAUAAGGAACGCCUCUCAACAAUGUAUGUUCAUUCCCGUGAAAGCAAUCCACGCAUCAUAGCCGCACAAGGUCCACUACAAGAUACAUGUGAGGAUUUCUGGGAGAUGGUAAUCCAGUAUACUGCCCCUUAAUUAUUAUGCUGACUCAGUUAGUUGAUGAUCACCAGGUUAAGGUCUUAUGUCAUCCAUACGUCUAAGUUACGUUUGAUUUCCUGGUGAACUGCUUAAGCAGGAAACCAUUGAGGUUUGAGUAUGCUGUUGUGAUAUGAGUUUCUCCAGACAGGAAACGGAGCUUCGGGUGGUGAUAUGAAACCAGAAUAAUUGAGGCAGAUGAGAAGAUGUUGCAUGUGUGAAAUUGAGACUUGGCAGGGAUAUUAGAUGUUAAUGUUGCUGCUGUGAUGAGAUUGUGUUAGCUGAGAUGAAGAGUUUGGUGUUGGCUUAAGGGAUUUAAGGUUGUAGAUAAAUGAUUGCGUGAAGGUAAAUGUUUAGAUGUGUGCUAGGAUUGAUAUGAAUGGCAGACCCAAUCAACCUGGCAUGCAUCAGAACUGGGCGAGGCGAAGCCGAGCCAAGAAUGCAUGGGACGGAACGGGGCGAGACGAAGUCGAGCUACACCAAAUUAUAAAUCCUAAACAUGCACCCGCUGAUGCAUAAUGGUAUUUCAUAUAUACCAUUUAUGCCCUCUUAUUUCGUACUUACUCUUUUACCCUCUUCUUUCCCUUAUUUCCUACCUUUGUCCUUUUUGUUUACUAUUUAUUAUUUAAACCCUAGCUCUUCUAGUUUUGAAGUUUUGUUUGUUUAGAAAAGUGGUGUAAGAACCCUAAAUCCUUCCUAAGAGAAGAGCCUCCAACAUUUUGUUAUUUCCAAUUUGUAAUUGGGUAGAAAUUUCAAUUUGUAAGAGAUGCAUCUAUUACUUUCUAGUUUCCAAUCUUAGAAUUGGGUAGAAAUUUGAAGAUUAUUAGAGAAGAACCUCAAAUCUUUGUAUCUUCCUUGUUCCAAGAGUAGAAGAAGCAUCAUUUGAAGGUUGGUUACUU